rnacentral:rRNA from 1 species
UUGACCUCGGAUCAGGUAGGCAUACCCGCUGAACUUAAGCAUAUCAAUAAGCGGAGGAAAAGAAACCAACAGGGAUUGCCUCAUA